rnacentral:tRNA from 1 species
GUCUCCGUAGUAUAUACAUUACCCUGGUCUUGUAAACCG